rnacentral:misc_RNA from 1 species
GAUGAAGAACGCAGCGAAAUGCGAUAAGUAAUGUGAAUUGCAGAAUUCAGUGAAUCAUCGAAUCUUUGAACGCACAUUGCGCCCGCCAGCAUUCUGGCGGGCAUGCCUGUUCGAGCGUCAUUUCAACCCUCGACUUCCCUUUGGGGAAGUCGGCGUUGGGGACCGGCCGUAUACCGCCGGCCCCGAAAUGAAGUGGCGGCCCGUCCGCGGCGACCUCUGCGUAGUAAUCCAACUCGCACCGGAACCCCGACGUGGCCACGCCGUAAAACCCCCGACUUCUGAACGUUGACCUCGGAUCAGGUAGGAAUACCCGCUGAACUUAAGCAUAUCAAUAACGGAGGA